UACGACUACAUAUCAGGCAUAUCAAUAAGCGGAGGAAAAGAAACUAACAAGGAUUCCCUUAGUAACGGCGAGUGAAGCGGGAAGAGCUCAAAUUUGAAAUCUUCAAGGUUUUACCUUGACGAAUUGUAGUUUAAAGAAGUGUUUUCUGUUGAAGUUUUGGUAAAAGUUCUUUGGAAUAGGACAUCAUAGAGGGUGAGAAUCCCGUAUUUGACCAUUAUUUUCAGCUGUGUGAUACACUUUCAAAGAGUCGGAUUGUUUGGGAAUGCAGUCCAAAAUGGGUGGUAAAUUUCAUCUAAAGCUAAAUAUUGGCGAGAGACCGAUAGCGAACAAGUACCGUGAGGGAAAGAUGAAAAGAACUUUGAAAAGAGAGUUAAACAGUACGUGAAAUUGUCAAAAGGGAAGCGUUUGACACCAGUGUUGUUUUCUCGAAAAUCAAUUAAAAAUAGCUGGAUUUUGUGUUGUAUUGACUUUAAUCAGCUUGCUGCACUCUUUUCAUUGUCUUUUUUAAUGCACUUUUCGUUUAACAAGUCAACAUCAGUUUCUUUUGUUGUAAAAGGGUCAUUGGAAGGUGGCUUUCUCUUCGGAGAAAGUGUUUAUAGCCUUCGCUCUCUGCAAUCGGAGAGAUUGAGGUCUGCAGCGUAGAUCCUUCGGGGUUAGAUACAUUUGUGCUAAGUUAUAGCCUUUCAUAGACAACUUGUUGACUAUGAUCAGUCAUGUAACUUACUCGCUUAUGCUAUUUUACCUACGCUUAGGAUGUUGAGCGCAUGUCUCUCUCU
rnacentral:rRNA from 1 species